rnacentral:rRNA from 1 species
CAUGCCCUACGGGGGGCAGCAGUGAGGAAUAUUGGUCAAUGGCCGAGAGGCUGAACCAGCCAAGUCGCGUGAGGGACGACGGCCCUACGGGUUGUAAACCUCUUUUGUCGGGGAGCAAGACCCGCCACGAGUGGCGGAGCGAGAGUACCCGAAGAAAAAGCAUCGGCUAACUCCGUGCCAGCAGCCGCGGGAAUACGGAGGAUGCGAGCGUUAUCCGGAUUUAUUGGGUUUAAAGGGUUCGCAGGCGGACCAUCAAGUCAGCGGUAAAAUCGGGGGGCC